rnacentral:lncRNA from 1 species
CAUUUGCUUUCCUCUCCACUAUCCCAUCCGUAUAAGCAAAAGAGUGUGUGUGAUGAUGAUAACAGGAUCUUGGAUGAUAAGCUCUAUCAACUCUUGUGCUCACACAGUAUAUGCACUCUGUAUCCCAUAUUGCAAGUCCAGAGCCAUCAAUCAUUUUUUCUGUGAUGUUCCAGCUAUGUUGACGCUAGCCUGCACAGACACUUGGGUCUAUGAGAGCACAGUGUUUUUGAGCAGCACCAUCUUUCUUGUGCUUCCUUUCACUGGUAUUGCAUGUUCCUAUGGCCGGGUUCUCCUUGCUGUCUACCGCAUGCACUCUGCAGAAGGGAGGAAGAAGGCCUAUUCA